UGUAGUCAUAUGCUUGUCUCAAAGAUUAAGCCAUGCAUGUCUAAGUAUAAACAACUUUAUACUGUGAAACUGCGAAUGGCUCAUUAAAUCAGUUAUAGUUUAUUUGAUAGUACUUACUACUUGGAUAACCGUGGUAAUUCUAGAGCUAAUACAUGCGAAAAGACCCGACUUCUGGAAGGGUUGUAUUUAUUAGAUAAAAAACCAAUGGGGGCAACCUCUUUGUGGUGAUUCAUAAUAACUUUGCGGAUCGCAUGGCCUUGUGCCGGCGAUGAAUCAUUCAAAUUUCUGCCCUAUCAACUUUCGAUGGUAAGGUAUUGGCUUACCAUGGUUGCAACGGGUAACGGGGAAU
rnacentral:rRNA from 1 species